CCUCUGUAACCUGGAGCUGACCGGACUGCCCCGCGAUGGACUGAAGGCCGACGAAGUCAUCUCCCGUUCCGCCACCACUGCGCCCCCUGCUGUGUGAGAAAUGCCGAAAGUUCUGGAAUCUACCGUUUCUCUUUUUUUCACAGGAACCCCGUCCGUCCUUCUCCACUGUGGAAGCUCCUACAUUUGCUGAAUCGCAGUGAAAAAGGAAGUCUUGAUCGAAUAGGAAAGCAGAAGAAAAGGAGCGGCCAAGUUCUCCUUUCGUUUUUUUCCCUUCCUCUGCUUCUGCUGCUGAUUCAGCUCCUUCUUUGGUUCGUGCAAUCUCUUUUCUUCGUUUUCCUUUGCUUGGUGUGAAUGAAUGAAAGAAAGAAGAGGGGAAAUUU
rnacentral:lncRNA from 1 species